UACGAGGGGGGCUAGCGUUGUUCGGAUUUACUGGGCGUAAAGCGCACGUAGGCGGUUCGAUCAGUCAGGGGUGAAAUCCCAGAGCUCAACUCUGGAACUGCCUUUGAUACUGUCGAUCUGGAGUAUGGAAGAGGUGAGUGGAAUUCCGAGUGUAGAGGUGAAAUUCGUAGAUAUUCGGAGGAACACCAGUGGCGAAGGCGGCUCACUGGUCCAUUACUGACGCUGAGGUGCGAAAGCGUGGGGAGCAAACAGG
rnacentral:rRNA from 1 species